AGGACAACUGCUCCCUCGUUUUCCUGUGAGGUCCAUCUCUGAGUGAGUUGGCAAAACACCUUGUCUUUGAGAUAUCUGGCUCCUCAGAAUCAACACCUCUUGAGCCAGCUUCAGGAGACAUUGACCCAUCGGGUGUCACAGAAACGCCACAGUCAUCACAGACUGAGGGUGCCUCUGAGCAGGUCACCCCAACACUAGCACAGGUCUUUGCAAGCUCCUUCAUGGACUGGGCACUUUUAAGCUAAGGUCAUAAAGCAGUGUUUCAUCACCCUCCUUUUCACAAUGAUUUGCUAAGUAGACAUUCCUCUACAGGCACAAGCACCGCACCCCCAUUCUUUGGCUGAGGUUUCAGAGAACCAGAGAGCACUGUGAUGGCAGGAAUCUGGAAGGUGUUUUACUCCAAGCUCUUCAUUUUAUAGCCCAGGACCAGAAGGGCUGACACGAUUAAAUACAUGGCUUCCUGACAUGAAGGUGAAACACAUGAUUCU
rnacentral:lncRNA from 1 species